rnacentral:sRNA from 1 species
GCUAGGCAUGGUGGUGAAUACCUGUAAUCCCAGCGGCUCAGGAGGCUGAAACAGGAGGAUCAUGAGUUCAAAGCCAGCCUCAGCAACUUAGCGAGACCCUGUCUCUA